UACGAAGGGGGCUAGCGUUGCUCGGAAUCACUGGGCGUAAAGCGCACGUAGGCGGAUUUCUAAGUCAGGGGUGAAAUCCUGGAGCUCAACUCCAGAACUGCCUUUGAUACUGAGUAGCUUGAGUCCGGGAGAGGUGAGUGGAACUGCGAGUGUAGAGGUGAAAUUCGUAGAUAUUCGCAAGAACACCAGUGGCGAAGGCGGCUCACUGGCCCGGUACUGACGCUGAGGUGCGAAAGCGUGGGGAGCAAACAGG
rnacentral:rRNA from 1 species